rnacentral:piRNA from 1 species
UGCCAAACUUACCUCUAACCUGAGCUGGGUU